rnacentral:lncRNA from 1 species
UGGUGGUGCAUGCCUUUAAUCUCAGCACUCAGGUGGACCUCGUGAGUUUGAGACCAGCCUGAGCUACAUAGCGAUUUCCAGGCCAGCAAGGAGCUCCACUGUAAGACACUGUCUCAAAAUUCAAACAAAACAAAUAGUAGCGGCAUACCCCUCCCCAAUCCAGGGCAGAUCCUCUACUCUGACUCUAUGCUGAGAGCCAGGAAUCCCCUUGCCCUGUUAGGGAGGUACUGUUAUUUUCUGCUUUUCACAGGUGGGGAAACAGAGGCAUCUGGGACUUGAACCCAGGACUCAUUUGCAGACAGUCUGACCUAAUGUAGGCUGAGCCAGAGAGGUGACUCCAGGCAACCGGGCCAGUGGCCCAGCCUGAGUCACUGGGCAAGGCUGUGGUUGGGACUCAGAGGGUUGGUAGCAGCCUGUGUCUGGGAGGGACAUCGCCAGUCCCCGCCCUCUCCACUGCAAGUGACCUUGACGCCCAGCAGACCCCUGCAGAGAACAGUCCUUGCCCACUGCCCUGACAGGAAGCCUGGGCAGGAUGCCAAGUCAUAUUUAACGCGUUUAUGAGAAGCGAGACAUGUCUAUUUAUAGCCUUUUGAUUUGUCUGCCAAGCGAGAGCAGGGUGGACGCAGUGGCAUCUCCCUGUGGAAAGCCGCCUGCUGCUCCACAGAGGUAAGAUCAACUUUGGCUGCACGUCUCAAAUUCUCCAGCCACCCUGCAGAUGUGCAGACUGUGGUCUCCAUUUUCCAGUGGGGAAACUGAGUCUCAGAGAGGCGGGGU